AUCCAGCUGACGAGUCCCCAAACAGGACGAAAGGUGAGUCAAACUGGAU
rnacentral:hammerhead_ribozyme from 1 species